UCCCACCUCCUAGGGGCCCUGCCCAGACCCUCCAUCAGAGCUGAGCCAGGCCCUGUGGUCCCCUGGGGACAGCCUGUGACCAUCGUGUGCCAGGGCCCUGCUGGGGCUGAGACAUUCCGCCUGCAGUACAAGGAGAAUAUGCAUAAGUACAAGGAUGAGAGUAACACGAUUCAAAUUGGUCCACACCAGACAGCGGCCAGGUUCCCCAUCGCUGCUGUAAGUGAAGACACUGUCCGGCAUUAUCAGUGCCUCUAUCAUCAAAGUGGCAUUUGGUCUGAGUCCAGUGAGACCUUGAAGCUGGUGUUGACAGGACCCCCUGGGGAUUUCAGCUCCCCCCACACGGAGCCCUCCUCCUCAGCUGGUGAGUAGCUGACCUCAGCCUGUUGGGGUUUCUGGGAGGCUCUGUGCUGGGGAUCAGGACCAUUGCCCUGGGCUUGGAUCAGGGACUGGUGAGGCCCUGGGAAGGGCAUGGCUUGCCCAGGGCACUGCUGGGUCCCUGAUAUUCACAAGGACACUCUUAACACCCACAGGAUAGAGAUAACCCUAUAACCGGGCACCUGGUGGCAGUAAUGCCACCGAGCCCACCAUGGAGGGACGUCCCAGGCUUUCUAAGAGCCACCACUCCUUUUAAGAGGCAGAAAGGAGGUUAAAGUGUCUUGGGCAAAGGCACAAGGGGCAGACCCAACCCAGGGCAUCCAGACCCCAUCCUUGGGGUUUGGGCACAGCUUUGCGCUGCCCCCUAGUGGGCAGGUUCCACCGCUGGCCCCUCUGCACUGAGAGAAGGAAGGAGGGACUGAUAGCGCAUCUCCUAGGAGAGAGAAGAGGCUUCUUGAAGGUUCUGCCUGAACAGCCUAGAAGGAGGGAGAGCCCCCCUCUCAGAGCGUCCUGAACCCGCUGCUAGUGGUGGUGGGGGCGGGCAGCUCAGUCACCCCUCCACCUCCCUCCCCGUUUCAUGCCUCCAAGACUCCAGUUCAGAGCAGAACUGCCAGCAUCAGGGUUAGGAUUCCGGUCCUGCCUUCCCAGCUCUGGGCCCUUGAGUGAAUGACCACGCCUUCCGCAUCCCGGCUUCUCGCGGGCAAAACCCGCAAUAAAUACACGAACCCCGCAGUUGAGACA
rnacentral:lncRNA from 1 species